CAACUACUCCCUCUGUCCCAAAUUUCUUGUCUUAGAUUUGUCUAGAUACGGAUGUAUCUAAUACUAAAAUGUGACUUGAUACAUCCGUAUCUAGACAAAUCUAAGACAAGAAUUUUGGGACGGAGGGAGAACUUU
rfam:Triticum aestivum genome assembly, contig: Triticum_aestivum_CS42_TGACv1_scaffold_602836_7DL